GUGCUGGCUUCCUCAGCACAUAUACUAAAAUUGAAACAAUACAGAGAAGAUUAGCAUGGCCUCUGUACAAGGAUGACAGGCAAAUUUGUGAAGAGAGUAGGAAAUGUUU